rnacentral:rRNA from 1 species
GAUGAACGCUGGCGGCGUGCCUAAUACAUGCCAGUCGAGCGAACAGACGAGGAGCUUGCUCCUUCGACGUUAGCGGCGGACGGGUGAGUAACACGUAGGUAACCUACCUAUAAGACUGGGAUAACUUCGGGAAACCGGAGCUAAUACCGGAUAAUAUUUCGAACCGCAUGGUUCGAUAGUGAAAGAUGGCUUUGCUAUCACUUAUAGAUGGACCUGCGCCGUAUUAGCUAGUUGGUAAGGUAACGGCUUACCAAGGCAACGAUACGUAGCCGACCUGAGAGAGUGAUCGGCCACACUGGAACUGGGACACGGUCCAGACGCCUACGGGAGGCAGCAGUAGGGAAUCUUCCGCAAUGGGCGAAAGCCUGACGGAGCAACGCCGCGUGAGUGAUGAAGAUCUUCGGAUCGUAAAACUCUGUUAUUAGGGAAGAACAAACGUGUAAGUAACUGUGCACGUCUUGACGGUACCUGAUCAGAAAGCCACGGCUAACUACGUG